UCAAAAUUUUAAGACACUUCAGGGUUAGCCUAGGGAUUUCACCAAUGCAAAUUCAUUACAGCCCUGUAAAUGAAUCGUCCGGCUAUUAAGCAAAGGGUGUCAUUCGGUUUUACCAGAUUAGACACUUAUUCCAAUCGUUGGUUUACACAGACGACUGAUGGAUUCUGGGCGACGACGAUGAACACUAGGCGGUGAUGGUGGGUCGAUUUAAUUUACGCCAAGCCUCGGUCGUGCCUUUUUGUUGGUUUCAUAGACGGUCUUAAGGGUUUCUAGAUAUGCUUUACCACGAAUCGUUGACAUAACUGGUGUUCACAAUGCAAUCAAGGGGUGUUAGUUCCUUCAUUCUCCUUUUUUUCAUUUUAAUCGAAUUAUUGUAAUUAUUAUUUAGUUAUUCUGGAUUUUUUGUGUUUAUCUUUUCGAUUACUGAUUAGAAAUUUGUGAUUUGUAAACGAAUCUUGUGAUUUAAAUUGUAAAUCAACUUGUUUAACUGUUAUAUGAAUGUUGAAUUAAACGAGUCUCAGUUAAAAUUUUGUAUGGGUCAAAUGGGUGCCUUUAACAAUAGCUUGUUUCAUGUGGAGAUUAAUUGAAGAUCGCAUUCCAGUUGCUAAAUAUUUGAGCCAUGGGGGUUUUUGGUAAACUCUGUGAUCUGAAAUCUUUGCUUAAAGGAUCAAGUGUUUGUGAUCUGCAAUCCAUGUUAUCAAUUUUUUUUCUCAUGAUAUUCUCUGUUAUCUGCUUCUUCACCCUCACGUAAGUAUCCUCACUAUUACUAAUACCAUUAGCAUCCUGAACUGGGAAUUCAUUCUGCACUAUAUUGGAUUGAAAUACCACACUAUUUUCGAUAUUAGGAUUCAACGUCAUCACGAACUUGUAAUCCUUUAUGUUCAGUGGAUGAAACAAGCUCACUAGAAUAUGAAGCUACUUACCAGCCAAAAACCGAUUUAUUAAAAGCUCUCGCAAUAUUUGGAGUUGCGGCCACAGGGGCAGUUGCAAUUAAUCAUGAAGCGAAGAAUUUGGAACUGAAUCGGCGAAAAAGCUUGAGGCGUUUCAUGUUUUCUACUAUUUUUGUAAAAAAGGCGUUGCCGUUGCAACUGGUAGACAACAAAGCUCAUUCUAGAUUCGGGAUAUGUACACAAUCUGAUACUUUAUAUCAAGUAAUAACUCUUCUUUCUGACCCAGGGGUGCGGCGUGUAGUGGUAGUUGAAGCUGGCUCCCAGCGCGUGUUAGGAUUAAUCACAUUGAGGGACGUAUUUUCGCUCAUUUUUAGAGAUUAUCAUCUCCAGCAAAUGGUGCAACUGUUUCAGUUAUAGUUCCAUCUAUCAAGGUACUUUAAACCAUACCAAAACAUUUGUAAUUCGAGGAAUCUGGUGUUAUUAUGGAUCCGUUAAAAGUUUGUAAUUCAGUCGAGGGGACGGGGACACGAUGAUGAAGCUAUUGAGAAGAUGCUGAAUUACAUGUCUUUGAUUAAGAAGUUUGAGUAAUUUGUAUGUCUUGUUUCUGUCUAUAUUUCCAAAAAUUACAACGAUUUUGGAGUGGAAAUUAACAAACCCAGAACACGUGAUGAUAUAAUGAUUUGUACCAAGCGCAUUGAGAUA